UACGUAUGGUGCAAGCGUUAUCCGGAUUUACUGGGUGUAAAGGGCGUGUAGGCGGGAGAGCAAGUCAGACGUGAAAUUCCAGGGCUCAACCCUGGAACUGCGUUUGAAACUGUUCUUCUUGAGUGAUGGAGAGGCAGGCGGAAUUCCGUGUGUAGCGGUGAAAUGCGUAGAUAUACGGAGGAACACCAGUGGCGAAGGCGGCCUGCUGGACAUUAACUGACGCUGAGGCGCGAAAGCGUGGGGAGCAGACAGG
rnacentral:rRNA from 1 species